rnacentral:rRNA from 1 species
UACAGAGGUGGCAAGCGUUGCUCGGUAUCACUGGGCUUAAAGGGCGCGUAGGCGGUGCGGUACGGUUUCGGUGAAAUCCCUCGGCCCAACCGAGGAACAGCCGGGGCUACGGCCGCACUCGACGGCAUCAGGGGACAGUGGAACUCCCGGUGGAGCGGUGAAAUGCGUAGAGAUCGGGAGGAACACCAGAGGCGAAGGCGGCGACCUGGACAAGUACUGACACUCAACUGCGAAAGCGUGGGGAGCAAACAGG